CAAACUGGAGAUGGCGACCGGCGCACGGGUGAGUAACACGUAUCCAACCUGCCGAUAACUCGGGGAUAGCCUUUCGAAAGAAAGAUUAAUACCCGAUGGCAUAAUAGAACCGCAUGGUUUGAUUAUUAAAGAAUUUCGGUUAUCGAUGGGGAUGCGUUCCAUUAGUUUGUUGGCGGGGUAACGGCCCACCAAGACUACGAUGGAUAGGGGUUCUGAGAGGAAGGUCCCCCACAUUGGAACUGAGACACGGUCCAAACUCCUACGGGAGGCAGCAUG
rnacentral:rRNA from 1 species